UAAUUUGAAGUUUUAGACCACUUUAAAAUAUUCCUGUAAAUUGUACAGGAACGAAACUUCCUUGUUUCUAAUUUUUUUUUGUUCCAAUGCAGGCAUUAUUCCAUCAAUCAUUCUAAUCUUCUGUUUAUCAGGCUUUACUCAGAAAUUUUUCUGCCAAAACCCAGUUCUUGUGAACAAGAAACCAAUUUUGAAGAAUGAGAUACUUCAAGAAGGCGACAGGAUUACAAUCCUUGACAAAACUUUCAUGUGGCACAGUAGUUUUUCAAAGGCGGACAAAACA
rnacentral:lncRNA from 1 species